GGCUCCGUAGCUCAGGUGGAUAGAGCUGGGGAUUCCUAAUCCCUGUAAGCCGCAGGUUCGAGUCCUGCCGGGGCCA
rfam:Deltaproteobacteria bacterium CG2_30_63_29 cg2_3.0_scaffold_6051_c, whole genome shotgun sequence.